GUCACUGGUACAGGGGGCGUUACGUGUGUAAGUGUCACUGGUACAGGGGGGCGUUACGUGUGUAAGCGUCACUGGUACAGGGGGUGAUACGUGUGUAAGCGUCACUGGUACAGGGGGCAUUGCUUGUGUAAGCGUCACUGGUAGAGGGGACAUUACGUGUGUAAGCGUCACUGGUACAGGGGUCGUUACGUGUGUAAGCGUCACUGGUACAGGGGGUGCUGCGUGUGUAAGUGGCACUGGUACAGGGGGGAGUUACGUGUGUAAGCGUCACUGGUACAGGGGGCGUUACGUGUGUAAGCGUCACUGGUACAGGGGGUGCUGCGUAAGUGGCACUGGUACAGGGGGGAGUUACGUGUGUAAGCGUCACUGGUACAGGGGAUGUGUGACACCCCAUCAGAGUUGCCACGGACAUUUAACUUAUUUCUGCGCCCUUUAUCCCCCUCUACAAAAUACAGCCUGGCUAAAUACUUUGAGACUUCAGCAAGGAAAGGGUUAAGAACAUUUUCUAUGCUAUAGCUGUCAUGCGCUUGGACAGUUAACAGCCGUGUGCCGAGUGUGUUGGCAGUUGGGCGGCGGCCAUCUUAGGAGGAUGGGCAGAGUGAAACAGGACCUAGGAGCAGAAGGUGCUGAGCUGAUUUGGUGGUGUACAUGGUGACCAAAGGAGACUCCUUACCUGAUCUUCAAUAAAUCAGAGUCCAGCAGCUGACAAAGAGAGUGUCUAUGGAGUGCUGAGCUGAUUUGGUGGUGUACAUGGUGACCAAAGGAGACUCCUUACCUGAUCUUCAAUAAAUCAGAGUCCAGCAGCUGACAAAGAGAGUGUCUAUGGAGUGGUGAGCAGACUACGUCAGCCCUGAGGCAAAAUAGCCACUUCUAGUGAGAUCCAGGAGCCCCAUUGCAGACUAUACAUUCUCACACUCCCUGUCACAGACUCCCUGGUAUACAAGAGAUCACAGUUUUAUACAGUAAAUUAGCCAGUUUCUAUAGUAAUAACACCCUUUAUGAGACUGAUAAGAGCCAUCAAAUAGCAGUAAGCACCUCUGUGCAGAAGCAGACAGUCAUGUGCCGCAGUUUUCUCAGCACACAGCCAGAACUUUGUAGCGCAGUAAGGAACAAUACUGCCUUAGUUACACAGACAGCUUAAAGGAUUCAGGACUCAAUAUCACAGGGGCCUGCAGCUGAUGUACUGCUCCCAGUCAGACAGUGUAAAUGUAACAAUUGAGUACAGUAACCUUUUUGGAGUACAGGUCAGUAACCCUGUUUCACCACCUAUUCAUUGCAAGCCCUUCCAGAUAUAGAGAGACUGCUCAUAACAGGGACAGAGACACCUUAGCUGCCUAUAUUGCAUUUAAGGAUGAGUCAGGAUUAAGUGGCACAGUUGUAAACCUACUUAUUGCCUGACACAGCCAUGUGGAUAUCGCAGAGAGCCUCCUUUAAGAAAAUAGUACCUACAGUACAAUCAAUUAUUAUUAUAUCCAGACUAGCAAAAUAGACUCACAGUUGCCUAAAAAUAGUGUGCUGCACCAUAUUAGAAGUUGCAAAACUGCCUGGUUGGACAGAACCUGCUACACUUCAUUUGUUGUAAUCCAUCCAUUGCUACCUUCAUCCAAGACUUGUAUUAACUAUUCUCAGGAUAUAACUUUCCUAGAAAGGUGCACUAUACUCAAUGUAGCUAGCUACAAAACUAAAGGUUUUUACGGGGCCCCAAUUAUAAGAGUAUUUUCUGGUGAUUGCUUAAAACUGUAUAUUAGUGUGUAAGGAUUGUCAAAUGUGGAUAUUGUUUCUUGUGCUUUAUUGUUCUUUGCAUGAAAAUGGUAUGUGACUAGCAUAGACAUUGAGGUUAAUCUAAAUUGCCAUUAUAUGAGAUAAUCUCAAAUUUCUACAGCUGAGAAAAACUUAUAGCAGUGUUUCAGUAGAAUAAAAAUUCAUAUAGAGAAA